rnacentral:rRNA from 1 species
AGAUGUAACGGGGCUAAACCAUGCACCGAAGCUGCGGCAGCGACACUAUGUGUUGUUGGGUAGGGGAGCGUUCUGUAAGCCUGCGAAGGUGUGCUGUGAGGCAUGCUGGAGGUAUCAGAAGUGCGAAUGCUGACAUAAGUAACGAUAAAGCGGGUGAAAAGCCCGCUCGCCGGAAGACCAAGGGUUCCUGUCCAACGUUAAUCGGGGCAGGGUGAGUCGACCCCUAAGGCGAGGCCGAAAGGCGUAGUCGAUGGGAAACAGGUUAAUAUUCCUGUACUUGGUGUUACUGCGAAGGGGGGACGGAGAAGGCUAUGUUAGCCGGGCGACGGUUGUCCCGGUUUAAGCAUGUAGGCUGAUUGUCCAGGCAAAUCCGGAUAAUCAAGGCUGAGGUGUGAUGACGAGGCACUACGGUGCUGAAGUAACAAAUGCCCUGCUUCCAGGAAAAGCCUCUAAGCAUCAGGUAACAUUAAAUCGUACCCCAAACCGACACAGGUGGUCAGGUAGAGAAUACCAAGGCGCUUGAGAGAACUCGGGUGAAGGAACUAGGCAAAAUGGUGCCGUAACUUCGGGAGAAGGCACGCUGGUGUGUAGGUGAAGUCCCUGCGGAUGGAGCUGAGACCAGUCGAAGAUACCAGCUGGCUGCAACUGUUUAUUAAAAACACAGCACUGUGCAAACACGAAAGUGGACGUAUACGGUGUGACGCCUGCCCGGUGCCGGAAGGUUAAUUGAUGGGGUUAUCCGUAAGGAGAAGCUCUUGAUCGAAGCCCCGGUAAACGGCGGCCGUAACUAUAACGGUCCUAAGGUAGCGAAAUUCCUUGUCGGGUAAGUUCCGACCUGCACGAAUGGCGUAAUGAUGGCCAGGCUGUCUCCACCCGAGACUCAGUGAAAUUGAACUCGCUGUGAAGAUGCAGUGUACCCGCGGCAAGACGGAAAGACCCCGUGAACCUUUACUAUAGCUUGACACUGAACAUUGAGCCUUGAUGUGUAGGAUAGGUGGGAGGCUUUGAAGCGUGGACGCCAGUCUGCGUGGAGCCAACCUUGAAAUACCACCCUUUAAUGUUUGAUGUUCUAACGUUGGCCCCUGACCGGGGUUGCGGACAGUGUCUGGUGGGUAGUUUGACUGGGGCGGUCUCCUCCCAAAGCGUAACGGAGGAGCACGAAGGUUAGCUAAUCCUGGUCGGACAUCAGGAGGUUAGUGCAAUGGCAUAAGCUAGCUUGACUGCGAGCGUGACGGCGCGAGCAGGUGCGAAAGCAGGUCAUAGUGAUCCGGUGGUUCUGAAUGGAAGGGCCAUCGCUCAACGGAUAAAAGGUACUCCGGGGAUAACAGGCUGAUACCGCCCAAGAGUUCAUAUCGACGGCGGUGUUUGGCACCUCGAUGUCGGCUCAUCACAUCCUGGGGCUGAAGUAGGUCCCAAGGGUAUGGCUGUUCGCCAUUUAAAGUGGUACGCGAGCUGGGUUUAGAACGUCGUGAGACAGUUCGGUCCCUAUCUGCCGUGGGCGCUGGAGAAUUGAGGGGGGCUGCUCCUAGUACGAGAGGACCGGAGUGGACGCAUCACUGGUGUUCGGGUUGUCAUGCCAAUGGCACUGCCCGGUAGCUAAAUGCGGAAGAGAUAAGUGCUGAAAGCAUCUAAGCACGAAACUUGCCCCGAGAUGAGUUCUCCCUGAGACUUUAAGUCUCCUGAAGGAACGUUGAAGACGACGACGUUGAUAGGCCGGGUGUGUAAGCGCAGCGAUGCGUUGAGCUAACCGGUACUAAUGAACCGUGAGGCUUAACCUU